rnacentral:rRNA from 1 species
AGAGUUUGAUCAUGGCUCAGGACGAACGCUGGCGGCGUGCUUAACACAUGCAAGUCGAACGGUGAAAGAGGAGCUUGCUCCUCUGGAUCAGUGGCGAACGGGUGAGUAACACGUGAGUAACCUGCCCUUGACUCUGGGAUAACCUCGGGAAACCGAAGCUAAUACCGGAUACGACCCUCGGAGGCAUCUCCAGAGGGUGGAAAGAAUUUCGGUCAAGGAUGGACUCGCGGCCUAUCAGGUAGUUGGUGAGGUAACGGCUCACCAAGCCGACGACGGGUAGCCGGCCUGAGAGGGUGACCGGCCACACUGGGACUGAGACACGGCCCAGACUCCUACGGGAGGCAGCAGUGGGGAAUAUUGCACAAUGGGCGCAAGCCUGAUGCAGCAACGCCGCGUGAGGGACGACGGCCUUCGGGUUGUAAACCUCUUUUAGUAGGGAAGAAGCGAAAGUGACGGUACCUGCAGAAAAAGCACCGGCUAACUACGUGCCAGCAGCCGCGGUAAUACGUAGGGUGCAAGCGUUGUCCGGAAUUAUUGGGCGUAAAGAGCUCGUAGGCGGUUUGUCGCGUCUGCUGUGAAAUCCCGAGGCUCAACCUCGGGCCUGCAGUGGGUACGGGCAAACUAGAGUGCGGUAGGGGAGAUUGGAAUUCCUGGUGUAGCGGUGGAAUGCGCAGAUAUCAGGAGGAACACCGAUGGCGAAGGCAGAUCUCUGGGCCGUAACUGACGCUGAGGAGCGAAAGCGUGGGGAGCGAACAGGAUUAGAUACCCUAGUAGUCC